rnacentral:rRNA from 1 species
UAUGGUUGUUGCAGUUACAAGCUCGUAGUUGGAUUUCGGGUGGGUUUCAGCGGUCCGCCUUUGGUGAGUACUGCUGCGGCCUUCCUUUCUGCCGGGGACGGGCUCCUGGGCUUCACUGUCCGGGACUCGGAGUCGGCGAGGAUACUUUGAGUAAAUUGGAGUGUUCAAAGCAGGCCUACGCUCUGAACAUUUUAGCAUGGAAUAUCACGAUAGGACUCUGGCCUAUCUUGUUGGUCUGUAGGACCGGAGUAAUGAUUAAGAGGGACAGUCGGGGGCAUUCGUAUUUCAUUGUCAGAGGUGAAAUUCUUGGAUUUAUGAAAGACGAACUACUGCGAAAGCAUUUGCCAAGGAUGUUUUCAUUAAUCAAGAACGAAAGUUGGGGGCUCGAAGACGAUUAGAUACCGUCGUAGUCUCAACCAUAAACGAUGCCGACUAGGGAUUGGCGGAUGUUCUUUUGAUGACUCCGCCAGCACCUUAUGAGAAAUCAAAGUUUUUGGGUUCCGGGGGGAUAAUGGGUACACCAA